CCCUUAGAUGUUCUGGGCAGCACGCGCGCUACAAUGGUCUUCGCAAACGGAUGCAUUCUCGAAGGAGAAUGCCAAUCUUGGAAUCUAUGCCUUGGUCGGGACAGUUGCUUGCAAUUUUUCGACUCGAACCAGGAAUUCCUUGUAAUCGUGAUUCAUCACAUCACGAUGAAUACGUCCCUGCCCUUUGUACACACCGCCCGUCGCUCCUACCGAUCGAAGAGUUAGGUGAAUUGAUUUGAUCGAUAAGAUUUGACUAUGGUCAACUCUCGUUGUGAAAUUCUGUGAAUCUGACUGUUUAGAGGAAGGAAAAGUCGUAACA
rnacentral:rRNA from 1 species